rnacentral:tRNA from 13 species
AGCAACCAGCGAGAUUCGAACUCGCGACCCUGGUUUACGAGACCAGUGCUCUAACCUCUGAGCUAUGGUGGC